AGUGAACGCUGGCGGUAGGCCUAACACAUGCAAGUCGAACGGCAGCACAGUAAGAGCUUGCUCUUACGGGUGGCGAGUGGCGGACGGGUGAGGAAUACAUCGGAAUCUACUUUUUCGUGGGGGAUAACGUAGGGAAACUUACGCUAAUACCGCAUACGACCUACGGGUGAAAGCAGGGGAUCUUCGGACCUUGCGCGAUUGAAUGAGCCGAUGUCGGAUUAGCUAGUUGGCGGGGUAAAGGCCCACCAAGGCGACGAUCCGUAGCUGGUCUGAGAGGAUGAUCAGCCACACUGGAACUGAGACACGGUCCAGACUCCUACGGGAGGCAGCAGUGGGGAAUAUUGGACAAAGGGCGCAAGCCUGAUCCAGCCAUACCGCGUGGGUGAAGAAGGCCUUCGGAUUGUAAAGCCCUUUUGUUGGGAAAGAAAAGCAGCAGGUUAAUACCCCGCUGUUCUGACGGUACCCAAAGAAUAAGCACCGGCUAACUUCGUG
rnacentral:rRNA from 1 species